GUGAACCAGUACAUUCCCAGACACGGCUUCCCAGAGAAAAUUAGGUCAGACAAUGGGACUCACUUUAAGAACAGUGAUUUACAGAAGGUAGAGAGCUUAUUGGGCCUUAAACAUACACUUAUGUAUACACUGUAUACCAUCCACAGUCCCAGGAAAAGGUAGAAAGGAUGAAUCAAAACUUAAAAAACAAGUUGUCUAAGAUAUGUGCACAGACUAAAUUGAACUGGGUGGAUGCACUGCCACUGGCACUCAUGACGAUUCGAUGCUCGUUAAAUCAGACCACUGGGUUCACCCCAUACGAGCUGCUGACGGGGAGACAGUUUCCAGGACCAGCCGCGGGGGAAAUGUGGCCCAAAGAUCACAGAGUGUAUUUUGAUAAAUUGCGAGCUCUCAUUUCAGAAUUCUCCAAUAGAGUCGGAGAACGGAGGAACCUGCACCCGCUGGACCAGAACCUGCCCCAGGCGGAGUGGGUGCUGCUGAAGGUCAUCAAGCGAAAGUGGUCGGAGCCAAGGUGGACGGGUCCUCAUCAGGUGGUGGAGAGAACGAGCCAUGCGGUCCGCCUGAGGGACAAAGGAGAGACGUGGUACCAUUGGAGCCAGUGUACACCAGCACAGGAGCCAGGGAGGUCGCUGACGGACCUCAUCCAAACCGGGAAGGAGGAGCUUUCCCCAGUGUGGAUGGAAGGAGGACCAGCACCAGCCGGACCGGUGCCAGGAGCGGACCCCAGGACACUGCGGGAAUAGACUCUGUAACAAAAGGGGGUAUAGGACACCGAGUGGCUCAUACCACUCGUACCAAGAUGACAGGGUUACAGAGAAAGGUCUGAGGAGAUGAGAAUAGAAUGAAGUGGUACAUGGACAUUGGUGGAAUAAUGAUGUGUGUUGUAUGUUGUUACAGGUUUCCCAGGUUGGCAUUGGGUCUUCAUUCCCCCAGCGAAGAGGUUCACGACCCCACCUGAGGACACCUGCUUGAGGAAAUUUGGGGGCAUUGAAUUGGACUAUGUCAAGGGGUCACAUGCGAGCAUUCUGGGAUACAUAAUCCGCUGGAGGAAUGGCUGACCUCGAUGUUCGGCCAGUGGAAAGAGGGCUCGCCAUGAGAGUGAUCUCUACAGCCAUUGAGAAGGCUCCAGGACCGCCACCAGGGAUGCUGAUGCCUCUACUGGAGCAGCAUGACCCGGGAGAACUGGAGCUUGGCGAAUAGGGGUGAUCUCUCUGGGGAGAGAUCAAAAGGGGGAAUUGUAGAUAUACUGAUUGUAUAAGUUAGUGAACUGUUGUAAGACAAGACAGAAACCACAAGGGGGCAAGAAGAUGUUUGCAUUUACCCUUAUAAGGGUUAGAACUGGAAUUGGACCAAUGGCACACUGGCUUUGCUAACUUAACGCCUCUAUCUUUUGGGCGUAGUUGAAUUAUAAAAUGAUGUUUUGACUGUUGAUCCUUAGACAUUGUGCGGCGACACUUGUCUCCA
ensembl:lncRNA